AGCAGCCGCGGUAAUUCCAGCUCCAAUAGCGUAUAUUAAAGUUGUUGCAGUUAAAAAGCUCGUAGUUGAAUUUCGGGAUUAGUACGCUGGUCGUGUCUUUGGUAUGUACUGGUGUUACUGAUUCCUACCUUCUGACGAACUGUCAUGUCAUUUAUUUGGUGUGGCGGGGAAUCAGGACUGUUACUUUGAAAAAAUUAGAGUGUUUAAAGCAGGCUCGCGCUUGAAUACAUUAGCAUGGAAUAAUGAAAUAGGACGUUCGAUCCUAUUUUGUUGGUUUCUAGGAUUGACGUAAUGAUUAAUAGGGAUAGUUGGGGGCAUUAGUAUUCAAUUGUCAGAGGUGAAAUUCUUGGAUUUAUUGAAGACUAACUACUGCGAAAGCAUUUGCCAAGGAUGUUUUCAUUAAUCAAGAACGAAAGUUAGGGGAUCGAAGACGAUCAGAUACCGUCGUGGUCUUAACCAUAAACUAUGCCGACUAGGGAUCGGAUGAUGUUAAUUUUUUAAUGUACUCAUUCGGCGCCUU
rnacentral:rRNA from 1 species